rnacentral:rRNA from 1 species
CCUACGGGGGGCUGCAGUGGGGAAUAUUGGACAAUGGGGGCAACCCUGAUCCAGCCAUGCCGCGUGUGUGAAGAAGGCCCUCGGGUUGUAAAGCACUUUCAGUGAGGAAGAACGCCUGGUGGUUAAUACCCAUCAGGAAAGACAUCACUCACAGAAGAAGCACCGGCUAACUCCGUGCCAGCAGCCGCGGUAAUACGGAGGGUGCGAGCGUUAAUCGGAAUUACUGGGCGUAAAGCGCGCGUAGGUGGCUUGAUAAGCCGGUUGUGAAAGCCCCGGGCUCAACCUGGGAACGGCAUCCGGAACUGUCAAGCUAGAGUGCAGGAGAGGAAGGUAGAAUUCCCGGUGUAGCGGUGAAAUGCGUAGAGAUCGGGAGGAAUACCAGUGGCGAAGGCGGCCUUCUGGACUGGCACUGACACUGAGGUGCGAAAGCGUGGGUAGCAAACAGGAUUAGAUACCCCAGUAGUC